CGAAUGGCGUAAUGAUGGCCAGGCUGUCUCCACCCGAGACUCAGUGAAAUUGAACUCGCUGUGAAGAUGCAGUGUACCCGCGGCAAGACGGAAAGACCCCGUGAACCUUUACUACAGCUUGACACUGAACAUUGAGCCUUGAUGUGUAGGAUAGGUGGGAGGCUUUGAAGCGCGGACGCCAGUUCGCGUGGAGCCAACCUUGAAAUACCACCCUUUAAUGUUUGAUGUUCUAACGUAGGCCCGUAAUCCGGGCUGCGGACAGUGUCUGGUGGGUAGUUUGACUGGGGCGGUCUCCUCCUAAAGAGUAACGGAGGAGCACGAAGGUCAGCUAAUCACGGUCGGACAUCGUGAGGUUAGUGCAAUGGCAUAAGCUGGCUUGACUGCGAGAGUGACGGCUCGAGCAGGUGCGAAAGCAGGUCAUAGUGAUCCGGUGGUUCUGAAUGGAAGGGCCAUCGCUCAACGGAUAAAAGGUACUCCGGGGAUAACAGGCUGAUACCGCCCAAGAGUUCAUAUCGACGGCGGUGUUUGGCACCUCGAUGUCGGCUCAUCACAUCCUGGGGCUGAAGUAGGUCCCAAGGGUACGGCUGUUCGCCGUUUAAAGUGGUACGCGAGCUGGGUUUAGAACGUCGUGAGACAGUUCGGUCCCUAUCUGCCGUGGGCGCUGGAGAAUUGAGGGGGGUUGCUCCUAGUACGAGAGGACCGGAGUGAACGCACCACUGGUGUUCGGGUUGUCAUGCCAAUGGCAUUGCCCGGUAGCUAAGUGCGGAAAAGAUAAGUGCUGAAAGCAUCUAAGCACGAAACUUGCCCCGAGAUGAGUUCUCCCUGACUCCUUGAGAGUCCUGAAGGGACGUUGAAGACUACGACGUUGAUAGGCCGGGUGUGUAAGCGCAGCGAUGCGUUGAGCUAACCGGUACUAAUGACCCGUGAGGCUUAACCUUACAACGCCAGAGGCGUUU
rnacentral:rRNA from 1 species